GGGGGCGAUUUAGGUUCGACAGAGGUAAAGCUGGCAGAGGAAGCGAGCCGCGGACCAUGGCCGCGUCAAGAACAUGGAAAGGCAAUAACUGCCAACAACGAUUACGCUCUGGCUGCGUAACUUAACGUAGCCCAUCCGCCCGGCCUAAGCUUGCGGGGUCGGAGACGGGUGUCAUUUUAGCAAGCUACCGGCAGACAGAGCCCUCAUGUCGGCCGGGAACUUCUGAGGGCUAGCCCAAAUUGGAUCUUGCUUCUUGGAGCCAAUGCGGGCGAAGAUAAAAGCAGAAGCUACGCUCGUAGAUGCCUUUGUGGGCUUACUUUUGGACGGGGGGUGCAAUUCCCCCCCGCCUCCACCA
rnacentral:tmRNA from 1 species